GGAGGUAUGUGGUUUAAUUCGAUCGCAACGCGAAGAACCUUAACCUGGUCUUGACAUCCCGGAGACCCUUAGGAAACUAGGGGUGCUUCCAUCUGGAAGAAUCUGGAGACAGGUGCUGCAUGGCUGUCGUCAGCUCGUGUCGUGAGAUGUUGGGUUAAGUCCCGCAACGAGCGCAACCCUUGCCUUUAGUUGCCAGCAGUUCGGCUGGGCACUCUAAAGGGACUGCCGGUGUUAAACCGGAGGAAGGUGGGGGAUGACGUCAAGUCCUCAUGGCCUUUAUGACCAGGGCUACACACGUACUACAAUGGCCGAUACAAAGGGCAGCGACACUGCGAGGUGAAGCCAAUCCCGUAAAAUCGGUCUCAGUCCGGAUUGGAGUCUGCAACUCGACUUCAUGAAGUUGGAAUCGCUAGUAAUCGUGGAUCAGCAUGCCACGGUGAAUACGUUCCCGGGCCUU
rnacentral:rRNA from 1 species